CCGGCUCGGCUCUCCUCACACGCGGAGCCCGCCCAGCGCCUCCUUCCGCCCCGGUCGCAGGCUGCUGACGCUCCCGCCGCCUCCGCCCCCGCCAGCCCUGCCUGGAGCCGGGGAGUCGCCGCCGCCAGUGCCCGGAUUGAAGUGAUGUGGAGAGCCCUGUGUGCCCUGGUGGUACGGGGGAUGUAAUCAGGAGGCAAGGAGAAGCAAAGGAGGAGAGUAUUGCCUCAUCUUCUGCUCACAACAAGCCCAGGCCACCUGGCAUGGGAGGGGUAUGGGCAUAGCAGAGAGCGUGUGAAUCACCCUGGACGUGCAGACCAAAGUUCUGUGAAAAACAGGUCUCUGUUUGUGUUGGAAAUGCUGUAAUGUAUGGCACACUGAGAUCUACUACCUGCUUAUAAUGACUGGUGUUUCCUGUUCUGCAAGACUGGGAGGGAAGGAGCAUAUCCAAUGAACAGAAGUAGAUCCUUGGAUUUUGGAUCUUGGUGACCUUGACUCCACAAAUAUACUGAACAAUUACAUUACAGAACAGUU